GAUGAACGCUGGCGGCGUGCCUAAUACAUGCGAGUCGAGCGAACAGACGAGGAGCUUGCUCCUCUGACGUUAGCGGCGGACGGGUGAGUAACACGUGGAUAACCUACCUAUAAGACUGGGAUAACUUCGGGAAACCGGAGCUAAUACCGGAUAAUAUAUUGAACCGCAUGGUUCAAUAGUGAAAGACGGUUUUGCUGUCACUUAUAGAUGGAUCCGCGCCGCAUUAGCUAGUUGGUAAGGUAACGGCUUACCAAGGCAACGAUGCGUAGCCGACCUGAGAGGGUGAUCGGCCACACUGGAACUGAGACACGGUCCAGACUCCUACGGGAGGCAGCAGUAGGGAAUCUUCCGCAAUGGGCGAAAGCUUGACGGAGCAACGCCGCGUGAGUGAUGAAGGUCUUCGGAUCGUAAAACUCUGUUAUUAGGGAAGAACAAAUGUGUAAGUAACUAUGCACGUCUUGACGGUACCUAAUCAGAAAGCCACGGCUAACUACG
rnacentral:rRNA from 1 species